GGGUCUUUUGGGACGGAGGCCGCCAAUAGCAGGAGUGGCUGCAUGAACACCAGGCCGUCUUGGAUCUAGGCAACUAAGUGUUUCACUUCACACUAUAUAUCCAGACGUUGGAAAAGUUCACGUCGAGUGAGUCACGUACUUGUGAAAUCGCACUGCUAGCCAGCUUGCCUGUGGGCGUCCCGCUGGGACACUCGCUCUUCGCCGGGGAUGACGGGGCCGUGUUCGCAUGGCGUAUCUGCACG